rnacentral:rRNA from 1 species
AACGAACGCUGGCGGCAUGCCUAACACAUGCAAGUCGAACGAGACCUUCGGGUCUAGUGGCGCACGGGUGCGUAACGCGUGGGAACCUUCCCUUAGGUUCGGAAUAACUCCCCGAAAGGGGUGCUAAUACCGGAUAAUGUCUUCGGACCAAGGAUUUAUCGCCUUUGGUUGUGCCCGCGUUGGAUUAGCUAGUUGGUAGGGUAAAAGCCUACCAAGGCGACGAUCCGUAGCUGGUCUGAGAGGAUGAUCAGCCACACUGAGACUGAGACGCGGCCCAGACUCCUACGGGAGGCAGGAGUGGGGAAUAUUGGACAAUGGGCGAAAGCCUGAUCCAGCAAUGCCGCGUGAGUGAUGAAGGCCUUAGGGUUGUAAAGCUCUUUUACCCGGGAUGAUAAUGACAGUACCGGGAGAAUAAGCCCCGGCUAACUCCGUG